rnacentral:rRNA from 1 species
UACGUAGGGUGCGAGCGUUGUCCGGAAUUAUUGGGCGUAAAGAGCUCGUAGGCGGUGUGUCACGUCGGCCGUGAAAACCUGCAGCUUAACUGUGGGCGUGCGGUCGAUACGGACAUCACUGGAGUUCGGCAGGGGAGACUGGAAUUCCUGGUGUAGCGGUGAAAUGCGCAGAUAUCAGGAGGAACACCGGUGGCGAAGGCGGGUCUCUGGGCCGAUACUGACGCUGAGGAGCGAAAGUGUGGGGAGCGAACAGG